UAAAAAUAUUAUGAUGGGGGUGUGGAGAAGGUGGCUGGGGUAUGGACAUUGGGAGGGUAUGUGAUGUGGUGAGCUAUGAAGUGUGUAAGUCUGACA